rnacentral:misc_RNA from 1 species
UCACACACUUUCAGUUGCUUGGUGCAGGGUACCAGACCAGCUGCUACCAUCCAGUGGUUCGUUGAUGACGUAAUGCCGUCCAUCGGGGUUGGAACCCCGACUACAACUGUAACCAACGAGCUGUUUGACACAACAGGUACCUGGACAUUCACUCCAAGCAGAACCAAUCACAAACAGGAGGUGAAGUGUGCAGCAAACACUGCAGAGUCGCAGCCACCGUACCCUAAUGUGGCAAUUACACUGGAUAUCAACGGUCCCCCUGACACACCUGUGAUCACUCCAAGUUCUCCAAUGACUGAAGAUGCUCUAACUACACUGACGUGUACAGCAGACAUGGGAUAUCCCGAUGACUGGACUCUGGUUUGGUCCAAUGGAGGCUCACCAGGUCCAAGUACGAGCUCGUCAGCAUCAGGUGAUCGCUACAGCUUCACCAGCAUGCUGGACUACACCCAAAGGAGACAGGAUAAUGGAAACAUCAUCACGUGUGUAGCACAGAGAGAUUCAGGAACGCGUAGUAGUGAAGGGACGCUGCCCAUCGACGUACAAUUUUGUGCUGAAGCAGUAAGCGUCAGUUGUCCAUCAAGUACAGCAUCAGGUAGCAUCGUGCAACUAUCGUGCAAUUCAGGCAGCAGCAACCCAGCAACCUCACUUGUUUGGUCCAAGAACAACGUGGACCAGUCUAACCCAAGCCAACCAGUAUUUACUGAUGGAGACUACGAUGGCCGAGAGACAACACUCAGGUUAACAACAGGGGCACUGACCAAGGCAGACAACAGAGCUGUGUACCAAUGCUGCCUUAUAAAGACGUCGCUAUGCACUGUGGAUAUGUGCGACUCAUGCUCCUUGAAUGUUGAAUACCGCCCGGAGUUUUCUUUGCCAACUGUUACGCCGACCGGUCCUAUCGUAGUGGGCGGCAGCUUAGUCCUGUCCUGCAGCGCAGAGGCCAAUCCUCAGCCCCCUGAUUUCAUCACGUGGGAGAAGAUCGGGUCUCCUGACUCCCUAACCUCUGUCUACAGCGAUGGAACAAGCACCCUGACACUAAGCAGCAUCAGCAGGGACCAGGCUGGGUCCUACAGGUGUCGCGGAAACAAUGGUGUACCACCUGUUGUCUUUUCAGGCUCUGUUGACGUCAUUGUGCACUAUGAAGUGAGCAUUCUAAAUAAGGUCGACACAUCAGUGGGGGCCAAAGAUGGUUACGAUGCUACCCUUGUAUGUGAAGGCAAGGGUAAUCCCCUCCCUCGAAUGACAUGGUCGCGUCCAGACGGUGUGGAGUUAAAUAAUGAGACCGACCCUGGAAGGAUAUUUCAGGUCGAUACCAUUCAUGAGGGGGAUGAUGUGUUUGGAUUCACCAUCAGGAGUACCUUGCACAUCAAUCCAGUGACUGGGACUGGAGACUACGGGUCUUACACUUGCAACAGCGGUAAUGGAAUAGGAAUGGUUGACACACUGACCGUUGUGUUGAAUGACAAAGUCACACCGCUGCCACCGCAAGAUGUGUCCGUCGAUCAGGGUACAGUCACAGCGACAUCUGUCACGAUAACAUGGCGUCCUGGCAUCGACGUCGGCGAACCUCAGUGGUUUUAUGUCAACAUCCGGGAAGUUGACACAACGACAGGGUUUGAUCCCAGCACUCGGGUGAGAAUCGCCGAUGGCGUCGUGAUGCACGUGAUUGAGAGUUUGAGUCCGUACACCAAGUAUGAGAUCGAGGUAUAUGCUGAGAAUGCUAAUGGCGUGAGCCAAAACGUCAGAAGGACUGCGACAACUCUACCUGAUACGCCAGAAAAGUUAGAUAUCUCUGUGACCACAAAUCAAGAGACUGGAAUCAUCUCAGUUGGUGGCAUUCCUCAAGAUGGCGACACCCUGUCGUGUUUGCGGCUUGAAGCACGUCUAACCAAUCAAGAUGAUUGGUUUGACUAUGGCGAGUGUCUUGAGACAAACACAGACUUGGCUCUACGUGAGGCUCGAUCUAGAUACUGCUAUGGAGACUUGUGUAGUCAGGCGACUACUGCAAUAACAGUUGCAGGACAGUCGAGUAAUGCAGGAUUGAUCGCAGGCAUUGCAAUUCUGGCCGUCAUGGUAUUAAUCAGCAUUGCACUGAAUGUUGUGGUAAUCAUGUACGUCAAAAGAAGAGGACCACAACCAGAAACCAAGAAACGUAUUUCAAUACCGAAAUUCAAGCCAGAAGACAAACGACCGGUCAUCAAUGAAGCAGAGGAAUACCAAGACUUGGACGUACCCCUACAGAUCCUGGCCGUAGGCGGGAGCCCCAACCCAGCUGCGUCGACCUACGCCAGCAUUUCUGAAACUCUCGCAGAGUUCUCACGAGAAAAGCUGACGAUCGUUCGUGAACUUGGACAAGGCGCCUUCGGGAAGGUUUUACUUGGGAAUGCCAAUGGUAUCGUCCAGCAGGGAACUGUAACGCAAGUGGCUGUCAAAACUCUAAGAGACGAUGCAGAUAUCACGGAGAGAGGCGAUCUGCUCCGGGAAUUGGACUUCAUGAAAAAGCUUCCGAGUCACUCUAAUGUCGUCAAACUCCUCGGAUUCUGCAUUGACAGAGAUCCAAUUUAUAUCAUCAUGGAGUACAUGUCCAAAGGUCAACUCAAGGAACUCUUGACGAGUAGUCGAGGCAAAGGCAAGUUGCAGGUGUAUAGCAACCUGCACGGUAGAAGCAAAUCUCUGACGUCUAAGGACCUCAUCAAGUUCGCUACAGACGUUGCUGAUGGAAUGGCAUUUCUGGCUUCACAGCAGGUGCUCGUCCUUAUCCCACCAUGAGCUUCAAGACAAUGAUUAGCGAGCUGCAGGAAGGAUACCGCAUGCCGAGACCAGAACAUUGCCAAGAUGAACUCUACCAAAUGAUGCUGGCUUGUUGGGAGGAGGAGCCCACAGCACGACCAUCUUUCACUGAGAUCGGUCAGAAACUUGAGAAACUGCUGG